GGUUGUGUAGUGUAGUGGUCAUCACUCCGGAUUUUGAUCACAUCAAAAUCGCUAUUUUCCGGCAACCCCGGUUCGAACCCGGGCACGACCU
rnacentral:tRNA from 2 species